UUUUUUUUUUGGAAAAAAAGCCUUUAUUUGCCAAAUUGACAGUUACAAUAUCACAAAAAAUUGCACAUCAAAAAACAUUUGAUAUUAUAUUACAAUAAUUAUUAAUAUUGCCUCCGCCAUGAUCUGCUUUCUCUCACUCGCUGAAAAAAUCCCAUCCGGGAGGGGGGAAAAACACUGCCCGCCCACACUAAAAACUGAUUGGCUGUCUCACAGACUCUUUGCAGAGAACAGGCCAAUCAGAACCCUCUCUGUUUUCUCUCUCUCCUUCCCACACGCGAUUAGAGAAAAAAAAGUCUGUCGCCUGUGUGCGCGUUUGGGGCGCUCGUUCUGAAUUCCGGGAGAUUAUAUGUGACUCGCGGGCAUCAGGGAGCCACUACCGAAAUGCGGGAGACUCCCGCAGCUUCAGGGAGACUUGAUUUGUCUGCAGUGUUCUGAGAUCCAGAAAUUUUAACAGUUUGUCCAAACACCCUUCAGACUGGGUGACACGGGCAUAAUUUCCCCCAAUAAUUUGUUUUUUUCCACCGUUAUCCAGCUCAAAGUAGCUCCACACCUCCUUGCUAGAAUCCGAAGAGCCCUGACAUUUAAAACGAGGCAUAAAUAACUUAAAAAAAAUGGCGGCGCUCGGAGCUCGCUGGCUGCUACGCUUUGCGGAGUCGACGGAGUCUACGCAGUUUACUCCGCAUAGCGUAGCAGCCGGGACCAGGAGUAAUGGCGGCGCAUGGAGCUGAAGCUAGCGUUAUAGGAUGUAAACAGAGGUAUAAUAAUAAGCUUCUUGUGCACUUUUUAGGUUAUUAAUGCCUCGUCAGAGCUCUCCGGAUUCUAGCAAGGAGGUGUGGAGCUACUUUGAGUCUGGAUAACGGUGGAAAAAGCGAUUUUUUGGGGGCAAAUUAUUCCCCGUGUCACCCAGUCUGAUGGGUGUUUGGACAAAAACUUUUAAAAUUUCUGGAUCUCGGAACGCUGUGGGAGGGUGAAUGGUGCUAUUCAUCAAAGAGCGCCCUCUGGUGGCAGCUGAAAGCUGCUGCGCUCUUUGAUGAGUGCUCAGCAGGGCGUAUUGAGUUUGACUAGGCCUGCUUUUUCUCCACCGCUGGAUUUCUUUUAACUCCUCUUGACAUCUCUCUCUGUUCUCGCGUGGAGGAUUAGACUCGACAGUAUAUUGAUGUGGGCUCUUUAUGAAGGAAAGCCGGAGGACUUAACGGAGAGAUCUGACGGAGUGCUCGAAAAACAGGAUUUCUGCUGCCUAUCUCGUCCCGCAAAUCUCCCCUCGUUCUCUCGGGCAGGGGGAGUUUCAGCGCCGGCUGCCGGGACUGUGAGGGGGGCCGGCAGCCGGCGAGCGUGGGGUCCGUUUGGCAGGAUGGGCGCCCGGGCUCGUGGCUCUGCAGUCUGCCUUCAUUUCAUGCUCUGUCACAUACAGCAGUCUGCAGCUGCUGACAGGAGGAUACAGUCUCUCUCUCUCUCUCUCUCUCUCUCUCUCUCUCUCUCUCUCUCUCUCUCUCUCACUUUUCUCUCUCUCUCUCACUUUUCUCUCUCUCUCUUUCUCUGUCUGUCUCUUCUGCAGGAUGUGUACAGGCCUCAGAUGAACGCCUCUGAGCUGCUGAAUGCAAAUAUGCCCAAGAACAGCGAAAAAAGAGAUGGAGUUGAUAAACUUUGAUUUGCAUGUAAAUUGUUUCUUUUAUUCAGGCUGUUUUUUUUUUUUGACUACUGCCAGAGAGUUCCUUUAGGGUGAAGUGAUUUUCUUUCUCUCUCUCUCUCUCUCUCUCUCUCUCUCUCUCUCAGUCUCUCUGCCCCCGAGUCGUCAGAAUACAAAUGUUGAACUGGUUUAUGCUGGGUUCGGAUGAAGCAUUCAGUCAGAAUCACUCACCCACGCGCUCACAUGUUUAAAUGAAAUGCAUAAGUAUGCAAAACACUUCUGUAGAAAUCGCUUUUGUCCCAGACAAAAAGUAACAAAGUGAAAACAUCAUUUUCUACUCUGCCCAAUACACAUUUUUUUCUCUGCAUUGUGAUUAUUACUGGCAGGUUAUAAUCAAUCUGCAAUGUCUAUCAGUCUCUCUCUCCUGCUCUUUUUUUCUGUACUGGUUUAAAAGUGUCAAAAUGUAUGCAUUUAUUUCAUUUUUAAAAAGAUUGGUGGAGGAGAACAUGAUGCCAAGAUGCAUGAAAACUGUGAUUAAAACCAGGCUUAUUCCACCAAAUAUUGAUGUCUGAACUCUUAAAACUUUAUGAAUAUGAACUUUUUUUCUUCCUCAUGAUUUGAGGUCUGAAAGAUCUGCCUUUUUUUUUUGUUAAUUCAGCCAUUUCUCAUUUUCUGCAAAUAAAUGCUGUAAAUUACAAUAUUUUUAUUUGGAAUAAAAAAUUAAAACAUCAAUGUUCAUUUUACACAAAAUAUACAUAUUAAUAGCAAAAUCAGAGAAACCGAAGGGCUUUCUCUGAUUUUGCUAUUUAUAGGUUUAUGUUUGAGUAAAAUGAACAUUGAUGUUUUAUUCUAUAAACUACAGACAAUUUUCUCCUGAAUUCCAAAUAAAAAUAUUGUGGAAUAACCCUUUUUUUUCUUGGCAUCUUGGCAUGUUCUCCUCCACCACCUCCUGGUGCAAAAAUUCAAGCAGUUCAGCUUGGUUGAUUGAUUAUAUUUCAGAGGUCUUCAAUUUGGUAAAAUCUAUUAAACUCAGCAUUUUUAGAUGGUCUCUUAUUUUGUUCCAGAGCUGUAUCAUAUUUGAGGUGAAAUUUAAAAGAAGAAUCUUUUUCUAUAACACCCUAACAAUCACCCAACUUGCUUUUGAAAAGUCUGAUUAGCUAAUAAUUAGUCAGUUAUCUAAUCUGAGUCACUGAGGCAAACUUUGUGUCCUGCAGUUGCUGCACAUCUUCAAGUAGCUGAUGAAGUUCUGUUCUGUCUCUUUCUUGCUGCCAUCUUCACUGUGGACUCUCCUGCGUGUCGCUGGUAUAAAGGGAAUGCUGAAGGAAACCUUUGACAUACACUCUGUCUGUGUUCCUGGACCGCGACGCUGUGUUUUGGCUCCGUGUCUUCUGGUCUGGACUGGAGCUGGUGCUGCUGGGUCUGAGAGCAGGCCAGAAGGGGCUUUUUGGCAUUUGGUAGAAGAGCUGGCCUGUUGAUCUGGGUCGUGUCAGAAGCGGUGUCAAACCCUCAGAUGCCUCCUCCGAUCGGGUCCCGCUCCAUAUGUGUCCACGAGCGCCGCUGCGCUGGGACGUCCCCCCGGCUUCAGCCCGCCGCUCUCAGCCCUUAUGGUCUCGUUCCAGUUUGGAUGAGGACUUGUGCAAGCGCACACUACAAAGUGAAUCACAGUUUGUAUGUAGUACAAGUGUACACUACAAAGUGAAUGCUGGCGCCGCCCCGUUUUUGAAAGUCGCUGGAAACUCUGCAGCCCCGUGUGCUGAGAGUUGGACGGCUGCGGUGGACACAUGUCGCCGUCUUUGAAAAUGGACAAAAUUCAGGCUUCAAGACGGCAGCUGAGACUUCGGCAAGAAGUCUGAGCUUUCCCUCUUUAGUGAGUGGAGCUAGUCAGCUGCUUUUACAAUAGAGAUGCUAUUUUUUCCCCUAUAUUGUAAAUAAAUACUGAAAGAACACAUAAGGAGUCAUGUAGUAACUUAAAAGUGUUAAACAAACCAAAAUACUCUGUGAAAUAAGCAUUUAGGUGCUCUUAUCUGAGGUUCUGUUAACGUGCAAAUUCUGAGGCUGCAUGGUAACUCUGUUGAACUUAUCCUGUGCAACAAAGGAAAUAAUCCUGAUGAGUGCCAGUUUCAUCACUAUAGCAUUUUUGAUGGUCUUUCCGACGACUGUGCUUGAGGAAACUUUCAAAGUUCUUGAAAUUCAUCUUUUUGAAUUAACUGACCUUCAUUCAAUACUUAUUAAAGUAUUUUUUUCUCUAUCAAGUUGAGUAGUUCUUGCAUUCCAUAAUAUGGAUUGGAACAUUAAGCAAAUAGAGCUAUUCACUGUAUACCAACUCUACCUCUUCACAACGUUACAAGUUAUGCUCUCAAACAAGAAAUUCGAGUCAGUAACACUUGACAAGUUCAGCACAGCUGUUAACUGAAAGCCUGAAUUCCAGGUGACUACCUUAUAAAACUAAAGAUGCCAAAAUGUGCAAAUUUGUUGUACCUACCUUGAUGAAUCUAAAAUAUAAAACUUAUUCUGGUUUGUUUAACACUUUUUUAAAAUGUAUUAAAUAAUUCCAUGUCUUUCUUCAUAGUUUGGAUGACUUUCGAUUAGUUUUAGCUUUUUGCAGAUUAACUUUCCAAUCUAAAGAGAAAAUAAUUUAAAUAAUUAAAUCCGAAUUAAAUCAGUCACAAUCACAAGUUUUGUUCCAGAAUAAUUGUGAUAAACACUGUUGGAAAUUGUGGUGGAUUUGUGGGAUAGUUUUGCUCAAAAUUCAAUUCCUGAGACAACAGUAAGAGAAAGAUCAAUUCACUCAGAAAAAAAUCAUUUGGGUUCCAUAUGAAUAAGAGCAGAUUAGAGAGUUUACCAUGCAAACUCUGCCCAGCCUGUCCUGACUCCUGACAUGUCACAGGUCAAGGAUCAUAUUGGUUCAUGAUUACAGCUGUGCCUAUAAACUGUGUAAACUGUGAUGUGAUGACCCGCUGAAUUUAAACAUAUUACUAAGCACAAGAAAGAUACAUUGAUAAUAAUAGAAUAAAAAGCUAUUGCUCUCUUUUAAAUCGGGUGUCCCAUGACUUUUGUCACUCCCCAUGAGAGCUAAAAAAAAAAACCACUGCACUGACCUGACGGAUAUACAUGUGUGGAAGUGAUUUCUGAUGUCACCAGUCACAGUAAUUACUAAAUGUUGCAAUAUUAAAUAUAAUAGACUGGUUGGAACUGGCAGAAAGGCUACAGUAGCUCGGAAACAUGCUAUAUAAAGUAGUGGUGAGCAGAAAAGCAGCUUAAAACAAGUCAUUAUUCAGUGUAAAUUAUUUCAUGUCUUUUUACUUAUUUGGCCAAAAACGUUUAUACCAUUUACGUCUGAAUUUUAGCAGUUGCCAAAUAUUUUCGGUUGCCAAAUAUCCAGUGCAUUUCAAGUUUUCAAUUUAAGGUUACCUUCUAAAAACCCUUACUUUAGAAAAUCCUGACAUGACAAGGGCCCCAGAAAUCUCACACCAGACAAAGGAGGCCUGCCUCGACCCACCUAAUAAAUCAGUUUGAAACAGUUUGAAGUUAAUUUUGCUAAGUACUUCACAACAGCGCGGUUUUACACCUCGCUGUGAUCGCAUGAUGGAAACAUUAUGAUUAAUUAUUGAACACGAAUCCAUCAUCUUUUAUUUAUGCAUGCAUUAAGCAGACCUGGGACUUAGCCUAAGCGGCGCGGUGUAAUUAUUGUUCUAUUGUGCCACCGCUCUUCUUUCUGAUGUGACUGCUGAAGCGAAAGCGGGACAUGAUGGAUCUAGGCCUCUGCUUUGAUUGACGUUUUGCACGGCGGCGUGACCCAGAACGCUUUCUGUUUAAUGCCGUUUUUUUCUGCUGUUGCUCGUCUCUGUUUCUCCUUUAGAGGCGGCUUGUAAACACUGAUGGAAUAACGCGCUCCUCUCUAUAAUAGGUCAACAGCUGCAUUUAAAAAAUUAAUCAGCGCUUCUUGGCAAGUCGCAAAGGUUAGCCGCUGCGCCUGGAGAUGUGAUGGGGGGCUCGGGCGUCUCGGCGGAGCUGCGAGGAGCUGCUUUGAUGAGGAGAGCAUGUAAAUGAUUUGCGAAUCAUUAGGGGGCCGCAUGCCAGCCUGUGAUUCGCUGAGGGAGCGCGUGCGCCACUCUGUGGCUGCAGAAUGCAGGUGCAGAUGUGUGUCCUUGUGUGUGUUUGUUGAGACAGGGCUUGUUGAUUUAUUUUGUGUCUAGAUUUGUAGAAAAAACAAACACACAUACACAUAUGUAGAUGGGCACAUAACUAUCUAGUGAAAUUGAUUAAGCUGGUUAGGAUUAGGGUUAUUAUCAGGUUUUGGGUUGAGGUGGGUUAGGCAUUCAAAAGUUUUCAGCCGAAGAGCAAAACAUUGUUUUUUUUUGUAUUAUUUUAUAUGCAGCUCUGCACAAAAUAAGAGACUACUUCAUUUUCUUUGAUUUUGCUUUUUAUAGGUUUAUGUUUGAGUAAAAUAAACAUUGUUGUUUUGUUCUAUGAAAUACGGUAAUUUCUUCCAAAUUCCAAAAAAAAAAAUUGUCAUUUAGAGCAUUUAUUACCAGAAAAUAAGAAAUGAAAAUAACAAAAAAGAUGCAGAGAUUUCUGACCUUAAAUAAUGCAAAUAAAACAAAUUCAUAUUCAUAAAGUUCAGAAAUCAGUAUUUGGUGGAAUAAUUCUGGUUUUUAAUCACAAUUUUUCGUGCAUCUUGGCAUGUUCUCCUCCACCAGUCUUACACACUGCUUUUGGAUAACUUUAUGCCUUUACUCCUAGUGCAAAAUCAAAGAAACUCACUAUUAUUAACUGGCCCCUUUUUUUCAAAGCUGUAUGUGAACAAAAUAACCAAAUUAAUUAUACCAAAUAAUAAUGUUUUUAUUUUUGAUUAUGUGAACAAAUUGCAAACAACCAGGGUGUUAAAAAUGUUCAGUAUAGGGCUGCAUGAUGAUAUCAAAAACCAAGAAGCCUUUUACAACUAGAUAUGAAUUGGCACACUGUCCUGGGUAAAAUGCUGUAGUGCCCGAUGCAGUCCUCCAGGUGUGGACGGUUGUUUCUGGUUGAGAGUAGCUGUGCGCUAUUGGCUGCUGCUUCUCACUGGUGUGUGUAUGAAUGCUGAGUAUAAAUGAUUGUGUGUAAAAAAAAAAAAAAAAGAAAAAAAAAAAAAAGAAAAG